rnacentral:lncRNA from 10 species
CUGGGACUGCAGGCACGCGCCACCACGCCUGGCUAAUUUUUGUAUUUUUAGUAGAGAUGGGGUUUCCCCAUUUUGGCCAGGCUGGUCUCGAACUCCUGACUUCAGGUGAUCCGCCCUCCUGGGUCUCCCAAAGUGCUGGGGUUACAGCCGUGAGCCACCGCGCCCGACCAUGCAUGAGUUUUUUAUACUUAUGAAGUGACCUUAAAAAAUUUUUAAAUGACAAGUCAGUGUUUUGGCCUAUUUAAUAUAUUAGUCCUGAAGGAAAGUUCCUUGCUUUUUACUAAAAUGAUAGACUCAAUGAUUAAUCCAAAUAUCUGACUUAAUUUGUCUUUCCUUAAUAAUACAUUUUACUAAUACAUAAAUGGAAUGCAUUCAAAAACAAUUGCAAUGAGUGGAUUAAAUUGGAAAUGUAAAGUUUUUGAUAUUAACAUAUACAUUGAAAAUAAAGGCCGGGCGUAAUGGCUCACGCCUGUAAUCCCAGCACUUUGGGAGGCUGAGGCGGGCAGAUCACCAGAGGUCGGGAGUUCGAUACCCGCCUGACCAACAUGGAGAAACCCAGUCUCUACUAAAAAUAAAAAUAAGCCAGGCGUGGUAGCCCAUGCCUGUAAUCCCAGCUAAUCGGGAAGCUGAGGCAAGAGAAUCGCUUGAACCCGGGAGGCGGAGGUUGCGGUGAGCCGAGGUCGAGUCAUUGCGCUCCAGCCUGGGCAACAAAAGCGAAACUCCGUCUUAAAAAAAAAAAAAAGUCGCCCCUUUUUUUUUUUUUAAAGUUGAAUACAGCCAGUGACAGGAGCUGUGGUCGCACUAUUUUUUUUUUUUUUUCAGUUGAAUGCAGCCAGUGACAGGACCUGUACUUAUAGCCACACUUUACCAUAAUAAAUUUGUAGGGAGCUUUCAAAAGGUACUAUGAAGGUACUAUGAAGAAACUAUGUUAACAUUUGGAGUUACAUUAAAAUCUCAGGACUUCGGUUUUAUCGUAACUGUUUUAGUUAAUUUAGGCCUUUCUGUAGCUAAUUUGGGUAACUGCUUUCUUGAAGUUAUCCAGAGGCCCUUGUGGUAAACAGUUGCUGUUCUUUCUUGCACUUCUGUUUUCCCCUGUCUCCUGUAUCUGGAGGUCUGAGAAUUUCUUUCAAGCCUUCGUUAAGGUGUUUGGUUUGUGAUGGCGUAGGACAGUGCAGUUCUCUCUGGAUGAAAAGCCUCCUUUUCGAACCGUUGGCAUGCGCCACUUAAGUUUGAUGGUAAAAUUUGUCAUCAGGUCUUGGUCUUUUUCUCUAGGUAACAGAAAGGGGAGGUGUGUGGGGGUGAGCAUUGAGGGGCAGUGCUCCUUUGAGGCUAUGGGUUUUUAGAAUCUAGAAGUGCUUAGAGAUCUGUGACACCUUGUCUUUAAUUGCCUCAGUUAAGGAGCAAUGUAGGUAUCAAAGAGAUUACACUAAUUAAUUUUAAACCUAACAGAUUUUACCUAAUAAUGACAUAUGGAUCAUGAGAACUGCAGAACUCUUGUCACGUAAUGACCUUGUCCAAACCUCAGCAAAAGGAGACCACCAAACUAUAGCGAGCCUUGUAGCAGCAUAAGGUCGUGUUCGUAGGAUGACCGCAGAUCUCUCCCCGGGCCUCUCGGUUAAAUGUCUCCCAGAGAAAACUCAACACUGCCCACCUGGCCAUAGGCCCUUGACCCCCUUUCUUGGAGCAUUUACAAAAAAAGAGCUUACAAUUGUGAGUCCUUCCUCUGUCCCCUUGACACGUAUGUGUUCUCUCCUACAAUUCAGGAGUAUCUUUCUUAAGGACCUGAAAGCCAUUCCUUUGAAAUUUAAUCAUCUGGAAGGUUGCUAUCUCCCAUUCUUGGUGGGAGGGUAGAAUCCUGACUUCAGUGAUAAUCGCCAGCUAGCUGACGCAGCUGAUCUAAUCACUUUUAUACUGACAGACUUUGAAAUGUUUUGCAUGUAUUCCGGCUCUUUCCCCCUCCCUUAUUCUCUCUUUAAGCUGCUCAAUUAUCUCUGCAUUGAAAUGGAACGCUGCUCUUUCCCCUACUGUUAGUAAUUACUGAAUAAAAUUGGUUUUCACCACUUUAAUGUCCAGGUUUUUUUAUCUUUGUCAACCUUCCCCACCCUCUAUCCACACAAAAAUUGUAACGGACAUAAAGGUACCAACACUUUAUUUUGCUAAAUAAAUUAAACAUAUUAAACAUCUUACGGUUAUUUCAUAAAAGACAUUUUAACAUCAAGAAAGUAGGAA